rnacentral:rRNA from 1 species
UACGGAGGGUGCAAGCGUUACUCGGAAUUACUGGGCGUAAAGCGUGCGUAGGCGGUUUGUUAAGUCUGUCGUGAAAACCCGAGGCUCAACCUCGGGCCUGCAGUGGGUACGGGCAGACUAGAGUGCGGUAGGGGAGAUUGGAAUUCCUGGUGUAGCGGUGGAAUGCGCAGAUAUCAGGAGGAACACCAAUGGCGAAGGCAGAUCUCUGGGCCGUAACUGACGCUGAGGAGCGAAAGCGUGGGGAGCGAACAGG